rnacentral:tRNA from 1 species
AGGAUUGUAGUUAAUGAUAAUAUUUGGUUUGCAUCCAAAAGGUGUUGAUUUUCAACCUGUCUUA